rnacentral:rRNA from 1 species
CUACGGGCCGCUGCAGUGAGGAAUAUUGCACAAUGGGGGGAACCCUGAUGCAGCAACGCCGCGUGGAGGAUGACGCAUUUCGGUGUGUAAACUCCUUUUAUAUGUCAAGAAAAUAACGGUAGCAUAUGAAUAAGCACCGGCUAACUCCGUGCCAGCAGCCGCGGUAAUACGGAGGGUGCAAGCGUUACUCGGAAUCACUGGGCGUAAAGGACGCGUAGGCGGGUUGGAAAGUCAGGUGUGAAAUCCUACAGCUUAACUGUAGAACUGCACUUGAAACUACGAGCCUAGAGUAUGGGAGGGGGAGAUGGAAUUAGUGGUGUAGGGGUAAAAUCCGUAGAUAUCACUAGGAAUACCUAAAGCGAAGGCGAUCUCCUGGAACAUAACUGACGCUAAGGCGUGAAAGCGUGGGGAGCAAACAGGAUUAGAUACCCGUGUAGUC